AGAUAACUGAUUAUUGUCACAAUU
rnacentral:siRNA from 1 species